rnacentral:tRNA from 1 species
GCAUUGGUGGUUCAAUGGUAGAAUUCCCACCUUCCAUGCGGGAGAUCCUGGUUUGAUUCCUGGCCAGUGUG